rnacentral:tRNA from 1 species
ACCCUUGUAGCCCAAUUGCCAGAGGCAGCGGGUUUAAGCCCCGCUCAGUGAAGGUUGGAAUCCUUCCAGGGGUACCA